CCUACGGGUGACUGCAGUCGAGAAUCAUUCACAAUGGGGGAAACCCUGAUGGUGCGACGCCGCGUGGGGGAAUGAAGGUCUUCGGAUUGUAAACCCCUGUCAUGUGGGAGCAAAUUAAAAAGAUAGUACCACAAGAGGAAGAGACGGCUAACUCUGUGCCAGCAGCCGCGGUAAUACAGAGGUCUCAAGCGUUGUUCGGAAUCACUGGGCGUAAGGGGUGUGUAGGCUGUUUCGUAAGUCGUGUGUGAAAGGCGCGGGCUCAACCCGCGGACGGCACCUGAUACUGCGAGACUAGAGUAAUGGAGGGGGAACCGGAAUUCUCGGUGUAGCAGUGAAAUGCGUAGAUAUCGGGAGGAACACUCGUGGCGAAGGCGGGUUCCUGGACAUUAACUGACGCUGAGGCACGAAGGCCAGGUGAGCGAAAGGGAUUAGAUACCCUUGUAGUC
rnacentral:rRNA from 1 species